rnacentral:rRNA from 1 species
CAAUAGCGUAUAUUUAAGUUGCUGCAGUUAAAAAGCUCGUAGUUGGAUUUCGGGUGGGAAUGGCCGGUCCGCCGUUUCGGUGUGCACUUGCUACGCCCACCUUGCUGCCGGGGACGUGCUCUUGAGUUCACGCUCGGGACACGGAGUCGGCGAGGUUACUUUGAGUAAAUUAGAGUGUUCAAAGCAGGCCUACGCUCUGAAUACAUUAGCAUGGAAUAACACGAUAGGACUCUGGCCUAUCUUGUUGGUCUGUAGGACCGGAGUAAUGAUUAAGAGGGACAGUCGGGGGCAUUCGUAUUUCAUUGUCAGAGGUGAAAUUCUUGGAUUUAUGAAAGACGAACUACUGCGAAAGCGUCUGCCAAGGAUGUUUUCAUUGA